rnacentral:rRNA from 1 species
GAUGUUAGCGGCGGACGGGUGAGUAACACGUGGAUAACCUACCUAUAAGACUGGGAUAACUUCGGGAAACCGGAGCUAAUACCGGAUAAUAUUUUGAACCGCAUGGUUCAAAAGUGAAAGACGGUCUUGCUGUCACUUAUAGAUGGAUCCGCGCUGCAUUAGCUAGUUGGUAAGGUAACGGCUUACCAAGGCAACGAUGCAUAGCCGACCUGAGAGGGUGAUCGGCCACACUGGAACUGAGACACGGUCCAGACUCCUACGGGAGGCAGCAGUAGGGAAUCUUCCGCAAUGGGCGAAAGCCUGACGGAGCAACGCCGCGUGAGUGAUGAAGGUCUUCGGAUCGUAAAACUCUGUUAUUAGGGAAGAACAUAUGUGUAAGUAACUGUGCACAUCUUGACGGUACCUAAUCAGAAAGCCACGGCUAACUACGUGCCAGCAGCCGCGGUAAUACGUAGGUGGCAAGCGUUAUCCGGAAUUAUUGGGCGUAAAGCGCGCGUAGGCGGUUUUUUAAGUCUGAUGUGAAAGCCCACGGCUCAACCGUGGAGGGUCAUUGGAAACUGGAAAACUUGAGUGCAGAAGAGGAAAGUGGAAUUCCAUGUGUAGCGGUGAAAUGCGCAGAGAUAUGGAGGAACACCAGUGGCGAAGGCGACUUUCUGGUCUGUAA